rnacentral:rRNA from 1 species
GCGCACCAGUCGCGAAUAGUCUACAAUGGACGAAAGUCUGAUAGUGCGACGCCGUGUGUGCGAUUAAUUCCUUCGGGAUGUAAAGCACUUUUCUAUGAGAUAAAAGCUCUUUAGGUUAAUAGCUUAUUGAGACGGAUAUUAUUAUAGGAAUAAGCUCCGGCUAACUCCGUGCCAGCAGCCGCGGUAAUACGGAAGGAGCGAGCGUUGUCCGGAUUUACUAGGCGUAAAGGGCUAGUAGGCGACUAAUUAAGUUAUAUGUUAAAUCCCACGGCUCAACUGUGGUCCUGCAUGUAAUACUGGUUAGAUAGAGUACUGUAGAGGAAGGCAGAAUUCCUGGAGUAGCGGUGGAAUGCGCAGAUAUCAGGAAGAAUACCAAAAGCGAAGGCAGCCUUCUGGGCAGUUACUGACGCUGAAUAGCGAAGGUGUGGGUAGCGAACAGGAUUAGA